rnacentral:rRNA from 1 species
GCAUAUCAAUAAGCGGAGGAAGCC